rnacentral:misc_RNA from 1 species
GUGAAUCAUCAAAUCUUUGAACGCAAAUUGCACUCUCCGGUUUUCCGGGAGAGUAUGCCUGUUUGAGGGUCAGCCUAAAAAAAAUCGACAUUGUUGCUGUUAUUUAAUGGUGACUUUCGUCGGAGAUUGGGUUAUCUUAAACCUUUUUUUUUUUUUUUUUGAUUUAGGGUCCUUAAAUUUUUUUUUUUCAAUUCUUUCAUAG